AUUGAACGCUGGCGGCAGGCUUAACACAUGCAAGUCGAGCGCGCGGCGGGCGGGUGUGUAAUGUCUGUGACCCUGCCUGAUGGAUGGGGAUAACUACUGGAAACGGUAGCUAAUACCGCAUACCAUCAGAUUUUCCCAGAUGGGAUUAUCCAGUAGGUGGGGUAAUGGCUCACCUAGGCGACGAUCCCUAGCUGGUCUGAGAGGAUGACCAGCCACACUGGAACUGAGACACGGUCCAGACUCCUACGGGAGGCAGCAGUGGGGAAUAUUGCACAAUGGGCGAAAGCCUGAUGCAGCCAUGCCGCGUGUGUGAAGAAGGCCUUCGGGUUGUAAAGCACUUUCAGCGAGGAGGCGUUACUCGCAGAAGAAGCAACGGCUAACUCCGUGCCAGCAGCCGCGGUAAUUC
rnacentral:rRNA from 1 species